rnacentral:rRNA from 1 species
UCUUCCGCAAUGGACGAAAGUCUGACGGAGCAACGCCGCGUGAGUGCUGAAGGAUUUCGGUCNGUAAAGCUCUGUUGUUUAUGACNNAANNNCNGUGCGUGAACAAUGCAUUGCAAUGACGGUAGUAAACNNNGNANCCACGGCUAACUACGUGCCAGCAGCCGCGGUAAUACGUAGGUGGCGAGCGUUGUCCGGAAUUAUUGGGCGUAAAGAGCAUGUAGGCGGCUUAAUAAGUCGAGCGUGAAAAUGCGGGGCUCAACCCCGUAUGGCGCUGGAAACUGUUAGGCUUGAGUGCAGGAGAGGAAAGGGGAAUGCCCAGUGUAGCGGUGAAAUGCGUAGAUAUUGGGAGGAACACCAGUGGCGAAGGCGCCUUUCUGGACUGUGUCUGACGCUGAGAUGCGAAAGCCAGGGUAGCGAACGGG